rnacentral:rRNA from 1 species
AUCGAACGCUGGCGGCAGGCCUAACACAUGCAAGUCGAGCGGAGCGGCGGACGGGGGAGUAAUGCCUAGGAAUCUGCCUGUUAGUGGGGGAUACCGUCCGGAAACGGGCGAUAAUACCGCAUACUAUCAGAUCAGCCUAGGGCGGAGUAGCUAGUUGGUGGGGUAAAGGCCUACCAAGGCGACGAGCCGUAACUGGUCUGAGAGGAUGAUCAGUCACACUGGAACUGAGACACGGUCCAGACUCCUACGGGAGGCAGCAGUGGGGAAUAUUGGACAAUGGGCGAAAGCCUGAUGCAGCCAUGCCGCGUGUGUGAAGAAGGUCUUCGGAUUGUAAAGCACUUUAAGUUGGGAGGCGUUACCAACAGAAUAAGCACCGGCUAACUUCGUGCCAGCAGCCGCGGUAAUAC